ACUCAGCAAAUCUGCAACUCUUAGCCCGUAUAGAUUAAACAUCAGAAAAAAAAAAAGCCAAAAUCAUGUUGGAAAAAUAUACCUGAAGAUUUGAAGAGCUAAGGUGCAACGUGUGGGCACUGACAGCACAGUGAGGCACCUGCUGAAGUCUCCACUCACUCUCCUGCCCACACAGGUCAGCCAGGGCUGGGGUGGGUAAAUGAAACCUUACUUGGAGCUUUUUACCAUCUAUACCUGCAGAACUGUAGUAAAUGCAAGUGAGGGUGGCUCUUCCCUGUUAUCCCAGGGUAAAACCUACUUAGCAAAACGCAAAGAAAAGAAUUUACCUCGAGGAAAUAGGUUCAUUUUCCCAGAAAUGGAAGCAGUUUACUGCAGCCAGGCAGUGGUUGACAUGAACCUUUUCUGCUACAGAACCCAUCUAUGGUCUGUUCUAAAGCUACACUCAGGCUAGGCUGUUGCUAGAGACAAGACACAUGGAGAAGCAGUCGGACAUCUGAAGGGCUCACACAUGUAAUAAUGCCAACAAAUCUUACAAAGUUUUGAAACACGUUCUAAGGAUAGACUGUUAUACUCUUGAAUUAGUAUGUCUACCUAAGAAUCACCUCAGAAAUGGUAGAAAGUAAGUAACUUUGAAGCUAGCUGUUAAGUAUAAUUCAGAUACAGUAACUGCAGUCUACAUGGAUGAUCCACCCUCCCUCCAGGAAGGAAGCUUAACUCCCCACCCCUUGAGACUUGCAUACAAAGGACAGAAGCUCUGGUCAGGGCUUGUUCUGAAAGAGAGUGACAAGUGCUAACUCAUCCAGCAGUCACGGUCUGCACCAACAAUGAGAAGACGGAAGUGGUUUCUUUAUAUCUGUGGUCUCAGGAGCACCCAUAACCGCAGCCUAUCGAGGAGGAAAACAUCAGAGAAAUGCCAAAGGAUGGGUAUCUCCCACUAAUCCUCAGGUUAUCAACGAAAACACAGGUCAGAAGAGCCAGCCGUCUGAGGAGAUAAGGCACUGAAGGGUCCAGAACACAAGGAUAAACCGAUGCACUUCACCAAACUGUUGCAGAGUUAUCUGAAAUAAGACUGAACAAAGCCCAGAGACGGGGCAGCAGUUCACUUCACCGUUUCUCUGUGCAGUUCAACUCCAUUCUGAAGUGUUAUUUCUCCUGCAUCAGCACACUGCACACCCACACUACAGCAGGAAUCCUGCAAGUAUGGUUGGUCCUGCACUAAAGCCUCCCUGUACCAUGCAAUGAUCUCAGUU
rnacentral:lncRNA from 1 species